AAUGCUGAGACAGACUCCCAGAAGAUCUGAGCGAGUCGCGUAGCUGAGCCCGGCAGGGGCUGGGGUGGUGCUGCUGCUAUGAGCUGCACCAUCGAGAAGAUCCUGACAGACGCCAAGACGCUGCUGGAGAGGCUGCGGGAGCACGAUGCGGCCGCCGAGUCGCUGGUGGAUCAGUCGGCAGCGCUGCACCGGCGGGUAGCAGCUAUGCGGGAGGCGGGGACAGCGCUUCCGGACCAGAGCUGUGGAUUUCCUUGGAGGAACACCAGGAUGCUUUGGAACUCAUCAUGAGCAAAUAUCGGAAACAGAUGUUACAGUUAAUGGUUGCUAAAAAAGCGGUGGAUGCUGAACCAGUCCUGAAAGCUCACCAGUCUCACUCUGCAGUAAGAAACUUUGAAUAAAUUCGAAGUGAACCAAA
rnacentral:sRNA from 1 species